rnacentral:rRNA from 1 species
CCCAGACUCCUACGGGAGGCAGCAGUGGGGAAUAUUGGGCAAUGGGCGCAAGCCUGACCCAGCAACGCCGCGUGAAGGAAGAAGGCUUUCGGGUUGUAAACUUCUUUUAAGAGGGAAGAGCAGAAGACGGUACCUCUUGAAUAAGCCACGGCUAACUACGUGCCAGCAGCCGCGGUAAUACGUAGGUGGCAAGCGUUAUCCGGAUUUAUUGGGUGUAAAGGGCGUGUAGGCGGGAAUGCAAGUCAGAUGUGAAAACUAUGGGCUCAACCCAUAGCCUGCAUUUGAAACUGUAUUUCUUGAGUGCUGGAGAGGCAAUCGGAAUUCCGUGUGUAGCGGUGAAAUGCGUAGAUAUACGGAGGAACACCAGUGGCGAAGGCGGAUUGCUGGACCGCGACUGACGUUGAGGCGCGAAAGCGUGGGGAGCGAACAGGAUUAGAUACCCCGGUACA